rnacentral:rRNA from 1 species
ACCCGCUGAACUUAAGCAUAUCAAUAAGCGGAGGAAAAGAAACCAACAGGGAUUGCCCUAGUAACGGCGAGUGAAGCGGCAACAGCUCAAAUUUGAAAUCUGGCUCUUUUAGAGUCCGAGUUGUAAUUUGCGGAGGGCGCUUUGGCUUUGGCAGCGGUCCAAGUUCCUUGGAACAGGACGUCACAGAGGGUGAGAAUCCCGUACGUGGUCGCUGGCUAUUGCCGUGUAAAGCCCCUUCGACGAGUCGAGUUGUUUGGGAAUGCAGCUCUAAAUGGGAGGUACAUUUCUUCUAAAGCUAAAUAUUGGCCAGAGACCGAUAGCGCACAAGUAGAGUGAUCGAAAGAUGAAAAGCACUUUGGAAAGAGAGUCAAACAGCACGUGAAAUUGUUGAAAGGGAAGCGCUUGCAGCCAGACUUGCUUACAGUUGCUCAUCCGGGCUUUUGCCCGGUGCACUCUUCUGUAGGCAGGCCAGCAUCAGUUUGGGCGGUAGGAUAAAGGUCUCUGUCACGUACCUCUCUUCGGGGAGGCCUUAUAGGGGAGACGACAUACUACCAGCCUGGACUGAGGUCCGCGCAUCUGCUAGGAUGCUGGCGUAAUGGCUGU